GUCCACGCCGUAAACGAUGUCAACUAGUUGUUGGGUUCCUUGAGGACUUAGUAACGCAGCUAACGCAUUAAGUUGACCGCCUGGGGAGUACGGCCGCAAGGUUAAAACUCAAAUGAAUUGACGGGGGCCCGCACAAGCGGUGGAGCAUGUGGUUUAAUUCGAAGCAACGCGAAGAACCUUACCUGGCCUUGACAUGCUGAGAACUUUCUAGAGAUAGAUUGGUGCCUUCGGGAACUCAGACACAGGUGCUGCAUGGCUGUCGU
rnacentral:rRNA from 1 species